GAAAUGCGAUAAGUAAUGUGAAUUGCAGAAUUCAGUGAAUCAUCGAAUCUUUGAACGCACCUUGCGCUCCUUGGUAUUCCGAGGAGCAUGCCUGUUUGAGUGUCAUGGAAUUCUCAACUCUAUUUGCUUUUGUGAAUAGAGCUUGGAUUUGGAGGUUUAUUGCUGGUACUUGUGAUCGGCUCCUCUUGAAUGCAUUAGCUCGAACCUUUGUGGAUCAGCUAUCGGUGUGAUAAUUGUCUACGCCGUUGCAGUGAAGCAUAUCAAUGGGCUCGGCUUCCAAUCGUCCUUUACUGGACAAUGACUUUGACCUUUGACCUCAAAUCAGGUAGGAUUACCCGCUGAACUUAAGC
rnacentral:misc_RNA from 1 species